UAACUUCAGCGAGUUUCUGCUGCAAGCACAAGGGCGACUGAUGUCUGGAUUAAAUAAGGUGGGGAUGACAUCCAUCAAGGCCGCCACGUUAAUAUCGACGAAUUCUCCCGAAGUUUUCCGAUUAGUAGGGAGAGUUAUUAGGUUUAAUUACGUGAGCUGGAACGAGGAACGGAAUGAACAAGCCAAGUUUGACGACAAGCAACUGAAGGUUAUGCAAGAGUUCAUGCAAGAAAACAAGGGUAUUUUGCUUGUCUGGGCAAUUAAAUACCUGGAGUUAUAAGCUGAGGUUUUUGAACAUGCGCGUGAAAUUGUCGAAGAGGUCGUCCAAGCGAUCUUCGAUGAAAACGACCUGAAGGUGCAGGCAAGGUGGUUGUCUGGUAUUGCCGCGGUACUUGUCGCAAAUGCUCUGUUACGUUUCUCGUGUGGUAACCAAGCGAACACCAAAGAUUAUGUAUUGUUUGCAUGCGGCGAGUUAUUAAAGGUGCAGACAGUCAGUAUACGUUCAACAAUGCAAAGGCUAGAAGCUAACAUCAUUGAAAAGAUAGCCAAGGAAAAAGACCCGAUUCUUUCAUGGCUGCACCCUAAAGUUACUGUCAAGAAUAUCGAAGGGAUGAAGGUUCCAGGCAUUGAGCUACUGUCAACUGCUUUCUACAGUUUUGUCCAUAUUUCACAUACAGAAUUCAAAGAAUUGCAAAGUACGCUUGUACUGGAGCCGGGGACAAUAGGGAUAUACUUCGGCAAAAACAGGGAAUGCACCUUGUAGCAAAUGAUUAAAAGGAAACACGUUUGCCAGAAAAGAGCGUACCGAAUUCCUCUGGGGAAACUGAUGCCAUUCACGCAACAUAUGAUAGCGUAUGCCAGUGGAAUUCGGGAUGAUGCCCCCAAUGAGAGUGAUCUGGAAUAAAUCAACAAUCUAGCAACAACAAUAUCGGACGAAGUUUGCAAAAGC